UACGGAGGGUGCGAGCGUUACUCGGAAUUACUGGGCGUAAAGCGUGCGUAGACGGUUAUUUAAGUCGGGUGUGAAAGCCCCGGGCUCAACCUGGGAAUUGCAUUCGAGACUGAAUAGCUAGAGUACGGUAGAGGGAAGCGGAAUUUCCGGUGUAGCGGUGAAAUGCGUAGAUAUCGGAAGGAACAUCAGUGGCGAAAGCGGCUUCCUGGACCAGUACCGACGUUCAGGCACGAAAGCGUGGGGAGCAAACAGG
rnacentral:rRNA from 1 species